UACGUAGGGUGCGAGCGUUAAUCGGAAUUACUGGGCGUAAAGCGUGCGCAGGCGGUAAGUUAAGUCUGAUGUGAAAGCCCCGGGCUCAACCUGGGAAUGGCAUUGGAAACCGGCUUGCUGGAGUGUGGCAGAGGGGGGUGGAAUUCCGCGUGUAGCAGUGAAAUGCGUAGAGAUGCGGAGGAACACCGAUGGCGAAGGCAGCCCCCUGGGCCAACACUGACGCUCAGGCACGAAAGCGUGGGGAGCAAACAGG
rnacentral:rRNA from 1 species